rfam:Salmo salar isolate Sally breed double haploid chromosome ssa11, whole genome shotgun sequence.
CUCCCUGUGGCUCAGUUGGUAGAGCAUGGUGUUUGCAACACCAGGGUUGUGGGUUCGAUUCCCACGGGGGGC